UACGUAGGGGCCUAGCGUUGUCCGGAUUUAUUGGGCGUAAAGAGCUCGUAGGCGGUUCGGUAAGUCAGGUGUGAAAUCUCCACGCUCAACGUGGAGGCGCCACCUGAAACUGCCGUGACUAGAGUCCGGUAGGGGAGUGUGGAAUUCCCGGUGUAGCGGUGAAAUGCGCAGAUAUCAGGAGGAACACCCGUGGCGAAGGCGGCCCCCUGGGCCGUACCUGACGCUGAGGCGCGAAGGCUAGGGGAGCGAACGGG
rnacentral:rRNA from 1 species